UGACCGAUGGUGUAACAGGCAACACAUCUGAUUCUGGAUCAGAAGAGUCCAGGUUCGACCCCUGGUCGGUCAG
rnacentral:tRNA from 1 species